rnacentral:rRNA from 1 species
CGUGUAGGCGGAUUGUUAAGUCGGGGGUGAAAUCCUGGAGCUCAACUCCAGAACUGCCUUCGAUACUGGCGAUCUCGAGUCCGGGAGAGGUGAGUGGAACUGCGAGUGUAGAGGUGAAAUUCGUAGAUAUUCGCAAGAACACCAGUGGCGAAGGCGGCUCACUGGCCCGGUACUGACGCUGAGGUGCGAAAGCGUGGGGAGCAAACA